AUGAACGCUGGCGGCGUGCUUAACACAUGCAAGUCGAACGGAAAGGCCCAAGCUUGCUUGGGUACUCGAGUGGCGAACGGGUGAGUAACACGUGGGUGAUCUGCCCUGCACUUCGGGAUAAGCCUGGGAAACUGGGUCUAAUACCGGAUAGGACCACAUUUUGGAUGGUGCGGUGGAAAGUUUUUCGGUGUGGGAUGAGCUCGCGGCCUAUCAGCUUGUUGGUGGGGUAAUGGCCUACCAAGGCGUCGACGGGUAGCCGGCCUGAGAGGGUGUACGGCCAUGUUGGGGCGGGGAGCGGCCCCGGCCCCCUCGGGGGGGAAGGGGGGGGAAAUGUUGAACAGUGGGGGCAGGCCUGAUGCGGCGGCGCCGGGGGGGGGAUGCGGGCCUUGGGUUUGUAAACCACUUCCGCUGGGGAGGAGGCGAAAGUGACGGUACGGGGAAAAGAAGCCCCGGCUAACUACGGG
rnacentral:rRNA from 1 species